rnacentral:rRNA from 1 species
CAUGCAAGUCGAACGAGAGAGAAGGAGCUUGCUUCUUCGAUCGAGUGGCGAACGGGUGAGUAACGCGUGAGGAACCUGCCUCAAAGAGGGGGACAACAGUUGGAAACGACUGCUAAUACCGCAUAAGCCCACGGGUCGGCAUCGAUCUGAGGGAAAAGGAGCAAUCCGCUUUGAGAUGGCCUCGCGUCCGAUUAGCUAGUUGGUGAGGUAAUGGCCCACCAAGGCGACGAUCGGUAGCCGGACUGAGAGGUUGAACGGCCACAUUGGGACUGAGACACGGCCCAGACUCCUACGGGAGGCAGCAGUGGGGAAUAUUGCACAAUGGGGGAAACCCUGAUGCAGCGACGCCGCGUGGAGGAAGAAGGUCUUCGGAUUGUAAACUCCUGUUGUUGAGGAAGAUAAUGACGGUACUCAACAAGGAAGUGACGGCUAACUACGUGCCAGCAGCCGCGGUAAAACGUAGGUCACAAGCGUUGUCCGGAAUUACUGGGUGUAAAGGGAGCGCAGGCGGGAAGACAAGUUGGAAGUGAAAUCUAUGGGCUCAACCCAUAAACUGCUUUCAAAACUGUUUUUCUUGAGUAGUGCAGAGGUAGGCGGAAUUCCCGGUGUAGCGGUGGAAUGCGUAGAUAUCGGGAGGAACACCAGUGGCGAAGGCGGCCUACUGGGCACCAACUGACGCUGAGGCUCGAAAGUGUGGGUAGCAAACAGGAUUAGAUACCCUGGUAGUCCACACCGUAAACGAUGAUUACUAGGUGUUGGAGGAUUGACCCCUUCAGUGCCGCAGUUAACACAAUAAGUAAUCCACCUGGGGAGUACGACCGCAAGGUUGAAACUCAAAGGAAUUGACGGGGGCCCGCACAAGCAGUGGAGUAUGUGGUUUAAUUCGACGCAACGCGAAGAACCUUACCAAGUCUUGACAUCCUGCGACGAUGCUAGAAAUAGUAUUU